UACGAAGGGGGCUAGCGUUGUUCGGAAUCACUGGGCGUAAAGGGCGCGUAGGCGGCUUUGUAAGUCGGGGGGUGAAAGCCUGUGGCUCAACCACAGAAUUGCCUUCGAUACUGCAUGGCUUGAGACCGGAAGAGGUUAGUGGAACUGCGAGUGUAGAGGUGAAAUUCGUAGAUAUUCGCAAGAACACCAGUGGCGAAGGCGGCUGACUGGUCCGGUUCUGACGCUGAGGCGCGAAAGCGUGGGGAGCAAACAGG
rnacentral:rRNA from 1 species